rnacentral:lncRNA from 1 species
AUGACCUUGGCUACGUCAGAUGGGAUCGUAUCUUUUAUGCAAAAGAAGGAUCUACUAUCUUUCACACGAAUCCACCAUUGGAUCAUCCAUUGAUCAUUUUGAGAUUCAUGUGAAUGGAUAAGUGAUUGGUCCAAAGUGCCCUGAGAUCUGCACAGUUGGUGAUCCAAUGAUGGAUUCUCAUGAAGGAAGGUGAAUCCUUCUAUCACCAC